rnacentral:rRNA from 1 species
GACGUAGGGCGCGAGCGUUGUCCGGAUUUAUUGGGCGUAAAGAGCUCGUAGGCGGCUUGUCGUGUCGACUGUGAAAACCCGCGGCUCAACCGUGUGGUCUGCAGUCGAUACGGGCAGGCUAGAGUUCGGUAGGGGAGACUGGAAUUCCUGGUGUAGCGGUGAAAUGCGCAGAUAUCAGGAAGAACACCCGUGGCGAAGGCGGCUCUCUGGGACGGUACUGACGCUGAGACGCGAAAGCGUGGGGAGCGAACAGG